UACGGGGGGGGCAAGCGUUGUUCGGAAUUACUGGGCGUAAAGGGCUCGUAGGCGGCCAACUAAGUCAAACGUGAAAUCCCUCGGCUUAACCGGGGAACUGCGUCUGAUACUGGAUGGCUUGAGUUUGGGAGAGGGAUGCGGAAUUCCAGGUGUAGCGGUGAAAUGCGUAGAUAUCUGGAGGAACACCGGUGGCGAAGGCGGCAUCCUGGACCAACACUGACACUGAGGAGCGAAAGCCAGGGGAGCAAACGGG
rnacentral:rRNA from 1 species